rnacentral:rRNA from 1 species
UCGGCAUGCUGGGGGACCUGAUCCAGCCAUCCCGCGUGUAUGAUGAAGGCCUUCGGGUUGUAAAGUACUUUUGGCAGAGAAGAAAAGGCAUCCCCUAAUACGGGAUGCUGCUGACGGUAUCUGCAGAAUAAGCACCGGCUAACUACGUGCCAGCAGCCGCGGUAAUACGUAGGGUGCAAGCGUUAAUCGGAAUUACUGGGCGUAAAGCGUGUGUAGGCGGUUCGGAAAGAAAGAUGUGAAAUCCCAGGGCUCAACCUUGGAACUGCAUUUUUAACUGCCGAGCUAGAGUAUGUCAGAGGGGGGUAGAAUUCCACGUGUAGCAGUGAAAUGCGUAGAUAUGUGGAGGAAUACCGAUGGCGAAGGCAGCCCCCUGGGAUAAUACUGACGCUCAGACACGAAAGCGUGGGGAGCAAACAGGAUUAGAUACCCUGGUAGUCCACGCCCUAAACGAUGUCAACUAGCUGUUGGGGCCGUUAGGCCUUAGUAGCGCAGCUAACGCGUGAAGUUGACCGCCUGGGGAGUACGGUCGCAAGAUUAAAACUCAAAGGAAUUGACGGGGACCCGCACAAGCGGUGGAUGAUGUGGAUUAAUUCGAUGCAACGCGAAAAACCUUACCUACCCUUGACAUGUCUGGAAUGCCGAAGAGAUUUGGCAGUGCUCGCAAGAGAACCGGAACACAGGUGCUGCAUGGCUGUCGUCAGCUCGUGUCGUGAGAUGUUGGGUUAAGUCCCGCAACGAGCGCAACCCUUGUCAUUAGUUGCUACGCAAGAGCACUCUAAUGAGACUGCCGGUGACAAACCGGAGACGUGGGGAUGACGUCAAGUCCUCAUGGCCCUUAUGGGUAGGCUUCACACGUCAUACAUGGUCGGGACAGAGGGUCGCCAACCCGCGAGGGGGGAGCCAUCUCAGAACCCGAUCGUAGUCCGGAUCGCAGUCUGCAACUCGACUGCGUGAAGUCGAAUCGCUAGUAAUAGCGGGAUCAGAAUGUGCCGCUGAUACGUUUCAGGUCUCGGCAGACGCCUGUUAUGCA